GCAUAUCAAUAAGCGGAGGAAAAGAAACUAACAAGGAUUCCCCUAGUAACGGCGAGUGAAGCGGGAUGAGCUCAAAUUUGUAAUCUGGUGGACUCAGUUCAUCCGAGUUGUAAUCUAUAGAAAAGUUUUCCGCGUCGGACCGUGUCUAAGUCCCUUGGAACAGGGUGUCAGAGAGGGUGAGAAUCCCGUGCUUGAUACGACCACCGAUGCUAUGUGAUACUUUUUCAACGAGUCGAGUUGUUUGGGAAUGCAGCUCAAAAUGGGUGGUAAAUUCCAUCUAAAGCUAAAUAUUGGCGAGAGACCGAUAGCGAACAAGUACCGUGAGGGAAAGAUGAAAAGCACUUUGGAAAGAGAGUUAAACAGUACGUGAAAUUGUUAAAAGGGAAACGAUUGAAGUCAGUCGUGCUCUCUGAGAUUCAGCCAGUUCUUCUGGUGUAUUUCUCAGUGAGCGGGUCAACAUCAGUUUAGAUCGCUGGAUAAGGUCAUUAGGAAUGUGGCUCCCUCGGGAGUGUUAUAGCCUAGUGUCGCAUACAGUGGUUUAGACUGAGGAACGCAGCUCGCCUUUAUGGCCGGGGUUCGCCCACGUCCGAGCUUAGGAUGUUGACAUAAUGGCUUUAAACGACCCGUCUUGAAACACGGACC
rnacentral:rRNA from 1 species